rnacentral:lncRNA from 13 species
GCCAGUGGGAGCAGCUCCUGGCCGCCCCUCACAGCCCUGCCAGCACCUGGGCACCCGCAGUCGGUAUAGGGCAGCUUCUGAAAAGGAGGGUGAAAGUAAAGAUGAAAGAAAAUGAAUAGAAAAGAAAUAUAAGGAAAACUAGAGGGAGUAACACGUAAAUGAGCGGUGAAGGUCAAGGUGAGGAGGGCAGCGCAGAGCACCGAGUUGUUGGCGCAGGUUGUGAAACACAGGACUCCUGGAAGUCAGCGUCAGGGAAAACGUGGAGUUCUGUCCUGGGCAGAUGGGCUGAACCUUAGAGGCAGCUGUUGAGAACAGAGGAAGGAAUAGAUGAUGGCACCAAAUCCUGCCCUGGAGCUGAGCAGGGCUCGAAGAGCAGCCCCGUGUGGAGAAGCAGAUGGAGCUCUGCAAAGUGUGACAAACGUCCCUGUAAUGUGCAUGGCCAAGCCGGUGGGAUCAGGAUCAGACCCCGGAGCAGGGAGCCAGCCCCAAACACACCGAAAGUGCUUCUGCCUGAGCUAAAGGAUGUCGG